rnacentral:rRNA from 1 species
UACGAAGGGGGCUAGCGUUGUUCGGAAUUACUGGGCGUAAAGCGCACGUAGGCGGAUCGAUCAGUCAGGGGUGAAAUCCCAGGGCUCAACCCUGGAACUGCCUUUGAUACUGUCGAUCUGGAGUAUGGAAGAGGUGAGUGGAAUUCGAGUGUAGAGGUGAAAUUCGUAGAUAUUCGGAGGAACACCUGAGGUGAAGGAACGGGUUGCUGGGCCAACACUGACGCU